GGGGGAUGUGAUUAAAAAAAUUGGGUUCAAUUUUUCUCAUUUGAAAUUUCAUAAAUAAAAAAGAAAAUGUCUUCAAACAUUUUUUUGAGAGGAUUAAUAUUUAACAGCAUAGUGAAUUGCUCUAAGAGAAAACUAAAUUUUUUAAGUUCAUUAGAACACAUUCAUUCUGUGUCAGAAACCUAUGCUGUGUCAACUAUUUAAUCACAAUCCAAAUUUAGAGCUGAAUCCAGCUUGAAUGUUGUGUCCAUACUUGCCCCAACUGUUCAGGGUUCAACCUCUGCGGUCGUAUAAAGCUACGCCCUGUGGAGCAUCUGGUUGUA
rnacentral:lncRNA from 1 species